CUUGGUAGAAUCCCACCCUUUUCUUUACUAUUCAAACAAUAUGAAUAGUCACUUCAAAGGAAAACCCGUUUCCACUGUUUGGCAUGGAAUCCAUGGUUUCUAAACAUAGCCUUACUAUCUCUCUUCAUGUUUAUCAUGAUGUUAUUGUACUUUGUAUUAUAACAAAAUAUAAUUUAAUGGUCUGUCCUUAACUUUCAUGCUUCUAGAGUAAUGACCUCUUUGCGCUGUUCUUGGAUGAAACAAUGACAUAUUCAUGCGCUAUAUUUAAGAGCAAGGAUGAAGAUUUAAAGGUCACAUAGCUACGAAAAAUCUCUCUCCUGAUUGAAAAGGCAAGAAUCAAUGCCAGGCACAAAAUUCUUAAGAUUAGUUGUGGUUAGGGAAGCCUAGCUAUAGAAGUUGUUAAGAGAACUGGUUGUAAAUACAUAGGCAUCACAUUGUCCGAGGAGUAGCUAAAAUAUGCAGAAAGGAAAGUGAAAGAAGCUGGCCUCCAGGUUAAGAUAAAAUUCCUUCUAUGUGACUAUCGCCAACUGCCAAGCUCUCAGAAAUAUGAUAAGAUUAUAUCAUG